CCGACAUAAAAUGGAGGCCCCAGCGAGAUCGAGUUAAUUCUUUGAUUAUUUGUGCAAAUAGUAAACCGUUCCAUACUUUUCUUGGCUAACCAGAUUAUUCAUAAAUCUGUGUAUAACUUUAUUGCAAGAAAAUGAGUGCAGCCGGUAGUGCAGCCGGUAGUGAUGUUGCAACAGGAGAUAGUCCAUCCAGCCCGGAGCAGUUAAUCCAGAACGUUGUUGAAUAUGUAAAUUCACAUUUAAAUUUGGAUCAUGAUGUGGCUGCAUGGAUAAGUGAGUUGCAGGCAGAAGCCAAGAGAGAAUGUGUGGAUGUAUGGACGCCACUUGGCACAGUCAGGAGACAACUAACUUAUCUUGAUGUGCUUAAAAAUACUGCCAGUAAAAACCAACACCUCUUAAAGAUAACCUUUCACCAGUUUUAU